GAGUGAACGCUGGCGGUAGGCCUAACACAUGCAAGUCGAACGGCAGCACAGUAAGAGCUUGCUCUUACGGGUGGCGAGUGGCGGACGGGUGAGGAAUACAUCGGAAUCUACUUUUUCGUGGGGGAUAACGUAGGGAAACUUACGCUAAUACCGCAUACGACCUACGGGUGAAAGCAGGGGAUCUUCGGACCUUGCGCGAUUGAAUGAGCCGAUGUCGGAUUAGCUAGUUGGCGGGGUAAAGGCCCACCAAGGCGACGAUCCGUAGCUGGUCUGAGAGGAUGAUCAGCCACACUGGAACUGAGACACGGUCCAGACUCCUACGGGAGGCAGCAGUGGGGAAUAUUGGACAAUGGGCGCAAGCCUGAUCCAGCCAUACCGCGUGGGUGAAGAAGGCCUUCGGGUUGUAAAGCCCUUUUGUUGGGUAAGAAAAGCAGCAGGUUAAUACCCCGCUGUUCUGACGGUACCCAAAGAAUAAGCACCGGCUAACUUCGUG
rnacentral:rRNA from 1 species